rnacentral:ncRNA from 1 species
AAAAAGACAAAAUAAGGACAACACAGUUAUAAAUUAGUCUUUAAGAGAGCUAGAUGUAUGCUGAAAUUCUAGUAAGAUAAAAUAUAGUUGUUAUCACCUUAUAUGUUGCAAAACUGAACUAAUAGUAAGUUUUGUCGUAUGUUCUGCGUUAAAGAAAUUAGAGAGAAUAACAUAAGUUAUUAAAUUAGGUGGUACCGCGGAAAUUAUGCCCUUUUCGUCCUAAGC